rnacentral:pre_miRNA from 1 species
AGAGUGGGAAUGCAGCCAAGGAUGACUUGCCGGCAUUUGCGUAGUAUCAAAUGCGCUAUAUAUACAAUCAAUAUAUAUAUAUAUAUAUAAAGUGUUCUGGCUAGGUCUUGUUGGCGGGUUGUCCUUGGCUACAUUUGGCUCUUC